UCAGUCGAAACAAAAAUUCUGGCUAUGGAUUGGAGAUAGGGAUCAUCUUCUUCUUUUUCUUCUUCUUUUUCUUCUUCUGCUUCUGCUAAAUUGACCAGUACAGGUUGAUUCAUCGUCACACCGCCAAGAAAGGUACGGCUGGAAAGAGUCUAGCUUCUUUGAGCGAAGCAGUUUUUGGAGGAGAGAGUUCGAAAAGAAGUAAGUUUCAUCAUUAUAUCGAAAGCUUAGAUGAUGCGAUUGAUUUGUUCGAUGAAAUGGCUCGAUCUCGUCGCUUCCCUUCCGCAAUCGAUUUCAAUAAUCUAAUUGGAUUCAUCCUGAGAAUGAAACGGCCCGACGCUCUGAUUUCUCUCUAUCAGAAGAUGGAAUUGCAUCUGGAUUCCACGCAAUAUCUACAGCUUCAAUACCCUGAUGAAAUGUUUCUGCAGCUGCUCUAAGCUUUCUUUUGCUUUGUCAACACUUGGGAAAAAACAACAAACUUGGGUUAUGUCUCGAAGAUAGGAUCUCUGAAGCCAUAGCUUUCUUUGAUCUAAUGCUUUGUGUCAUAGCGUUCAACACAAUAUGUUGUAAAGGGAAUGUGUAAGAUGGGCGACACUGUCUCGGCCUUGAAUCUGCUUAGAAAGAUGGAGAAAAGCCGCAUCAAAGCCAUGAUGAUCGGCUAGAUGAGGCAAAAACAGAUAUUUGGUUUGAUGGCUAGCAAGGGAUGCUCUCCAAAUGUAGUCACUUUCAAUACUUUCAUGGUGUGUGCUCUGAUAUAUUAAGGAAUAACAUUUUUGCUGGACGGUCUCUGCGAUGAUAAUGGGAAACUGGAAGAGGCAUUGGAAAUGUUUGAGGUUAUGCAGAAGAGUAAGAUUGAUGUUGAUACUGCUACAUAUAACAUCAUCAUCCAUGGAAUGUGACGUAGCAUGGGACUUAUUUUUGAAGUCUCCCUCUCGAUGGUGUGGAGUCUGAAGCAAUAUCUGAAGUAAAUAUAAUGAUAUAUAGAUUUUGCGGAAAAGGUGCGAUAUCUGAAGUAUAAUGCGAUAUUCCAGAAAAUGAAGGACAAUGAAUAUGUACCAAAUGGCUCUACAUAUAAUAUACUAAUCAGAGGAAAUGCAAAGCAACAUGUUCUGUUCAGAUGCAUCCACCCUGAAAAUGGUAGAUGAUCAAUCUGAUGGUGGAUCGGACAAGAGCUUUGUGGAUAUGCUGUUUUAGUGUUUGGUGUGGUGUUUUUUGUGACAAGAAAUCUAUCUUAGUCUUUUUCCUUCUAUGGUAUGUCCUACUCACUCACUUGUGUUCUUUUCUGUUGUUUGAUGCUAUGUGUCAUGGAAUAGGAUUUUUGCAGAGGUUUCAGCCUCUUAAGAUUUGCAAGAAGUUUCUCGAGGAACGCUUUUUGUCUUGUCCUCUCUAGAUUACAUGUAAUCUCAAAAUUGAAUCCAGAUAUUAUCUCAUCUUUGUUUCAUAUAACUUGGCUAAUUGUACUCAAAGUUUUGAGGGUUGACUUAUGAAAAUGGAAUCAUUUUGUCUCGCA